AGCCCUGAGGUGUGUUGCAUGUGAGAUUGCAAAUCUCAAGGCACAGAUUAACGUCUGUCGGGGCCU
rnacentral:tRNA from 1 species